rnacentral:lncRNA from 1 species
GCUCCUGCCUUUCUAGAGAAGAACCGCACACUGCACGUCUGUCUGCCCGGACGCUGCUGCAGUAGCAAUUACACGAUAUUCUUCCCAUAAAAGAGAGGACACGCGACCAUAAAACCCGAUUGGCAGGUACCAAUCUCCAUGGAGAGUCCUCUCGAGUUCAGAGGAGAAAGCACUUGGCACAAAGUGUUUCUCACGGUGUGGGCACGAGGCCCAGGUAAAAAGGGCCCUGCUCUGGCAGCAGGAGGAAACCACAACUGGAGAAAAAGGCAGUGACAGGGCCGCAGGCACUGGCACACUCUGGUCCUGAGUGAGGCGCGGGAGCAGGUGACAGGCGGCGGGCUCCUCAGAGGACACUCCAGGAAGGAGGGAGGUCCCAGCUAGAGCAGGAGCAGCAAACUCUCUGCACAGGGCCGCAUGGUCGCUGUGGCAGGCUUUGCCGGCCACGUGGUCUCUGUCCCAGCUCCUCGCCUCUGCCCUUGCAGUGGGAAGGCAGCCGUGGGCCAUUCGGCUGACCCUGAACGACACGGGUUUCAGCUGCGGGGAUCCACUUCUAUGCAGAUUUUCUUCCGCCUCUGCCACCCCUGAGAUGCUAGACCACCCCCUCCUCCUCCCCCUUCUCCUACUCACAGGAAGACGGCAAGGCCUUUAUGAUGACCUGCUUCUACUUAAUUCCACAGAGUCAUCUGCAUUCUGGAAAUAUACAGCAGAAC